CUCCGUAUUGCGCACGCGGAUUGGCCGCGCGUGGCCGGCGCUGCGCGGAGCGGGCGGUUUCCCAUCCAGGAACCUUGGGCAGACAAACUCUUCUGGGGAAGGAGUGGUUUUCCUUGCUGUGGUGGUGCUCAGGCAGCUGACCCCAGAAGAAGCAUCUGGAACAUCUGGAGCUGGCGGCUCAGCCCUGGGGGAGGAUUUUGCCCUCUGUGUAGAACAGUAAGCGCUUGAGCCUGAUCUUUGCAGGAGCAGGUUGGUGGCAAUGACUUGUUGGCCCGGUCUCCUCUCCACCGCUGCCAAAGUCAACCUGCUGGUCCUGGUGGUUUCUGCCGUGUUUUCCCAGUCGAGCCUGAGCGAUGGAGUUCCCGAGUUCGCUCUUACGAAAAUAGAAGAGAGCGACACAAAAGAUGACAGUGGGAAAGAGCUGAAAACAGAAGCGGAUGCUGAUCCCGAAGACCUGGAAGUGUUUUACCCCACGCAUCAGUGGCAAACGAUCCGCCCAGGUCAAGCUGUUCCUGCGGGGUCACACGUACGAUUAAACCUGCAGACAGGAGAGAGAGAAGCCAAGCUCCCAGAUAGUGAAAACGGAGGAAAGGACACAAGAGAAGAGAGAAGAAGAAAAAGGCUGGGCAAGGUGGAUGUUGACUCAAAUUCAUUCACGUCCCAGGAGCUCAAAAAGGCGUUGGCUAAAAUGAAGGAAAGUGAGAAGGCAGAAAGAAAGGCCCAUGAGGAAGAGGUGAGGAAGAAGUUCAGGCCCAUAGAGCAGCUGAAGGAGGAGUUUGAAAAGCUAAAUGUGAAGAUGGAAACAGAUUAUGAAAUUAUGGUUAAAUUAAUUGGCAAAUUCAACAGCUCUGCCUCCACGCUGGAUGAAAAAGUAGCGGCGCUUUAUGAUCUCGAAUAUUAUGUUCACCAGGUGGACAAUGCUAAGGACUUCCUCUCCAUGGGGGGACUCCAGCUUGUGAUCGAUGGGUUGAACAGCACGGAGGCCCUGCUGAAGGAGCAUGCCGCCUUUGUCCUGGGUGCCGCGCUGUCCAGUAACCCCAAGGUCCAGAUAGAAGCCAUCGAGGGUGGUGCGCUGCAGAAGCUCCUGGUCAUUCUGGCUACGGAACAACCCCUGGCUGUCAAGAAGAAGGCUCUUUUUGCACUGUCCUCCAUGCUGAGACACUUCCCCUACGCGCAGCAGCAGUUCCUCAAGUUGGGUGGCCUCCAGGUGCUCAGGAGCCUCUUCAGGCAGAAGGGGAUGGAGACCCUCUACGUCCGCGUGGUGACGCUCCUCUACGACCUCAUCAUGGAGAAGAUGCUGCUUGAGGACUCUCAGCACGGAGGUGAGCAAAUGGAAGAGAAACUCCAGCAGUACCGGCAGGUCAAGCUGGUCCCAGCGGUGGUGGAGCAGGACUGGUGCGUGGUGGUUUCCAACCUGCUGGCCAUGCCGGAGCACGACACGCGGGAGAAGGUCCUCAAGACAGUCAGCGUGCUGAUGGCCUUCUGCAAGGAGCGCUUCCAGGGGGACCAGGCGCUCAGCUCCACCCUCAGCCUCCUGCGCAGCGAGUACGAGGAGCUGGCGGCCGAGGAGCAGAGGGAAGGCGACAAGGAUGGCUAUUUCAAGGAACUCCUUGGCUCCGUAGACAGUAUCAUUCAGGAAUUAAGAUGAAAAUCACUGUAGGUGCAGCUCAGAUUCAGAUAAUUCAUGGCAGCAGCAUGAGAUUUGAUGGCACCAAUGUAACGCGCUUCUGAAUAAACUGCUGGACUAAAUGCGACCCCCACAGCAGGCGAGUGGGCAGCAGCGUUGUUUAAUUAAAGCCCUCGUGUCUUGGGGCGCGCUUUCUCUUGUGUGGGGCACAGAGGUGGUGACCAAGGAGCAGCCGUGCCCCACUCCCACCGGUGGCCAGGGACAUCCCACAGCCCUUCCUGCCCAAGCCCACAGUGGGUCCACUUCAUCCCUGGCCCCUGGAGCUCCAAUUCCUCCUCCUGCUGAUGGAGCACGGUGUGAGCAGCAGGAAGGGAUGGGGAAGCUCCAUUUGCCACACACCAUCAGGGAAGGUGGCUGAAAAGCUCUCCCACCUCGUCCCUGCACAGCGCUCACAACCCGCUGCGGUCGCGCGUUCCCCUCCAGCAGCGCAGACCGACUGCACCACCAGCCUCUCCCCGGUGCUUAAUUACAUCAAGCAGUAAUUACUGUAAUUCUUUCCACUUGGCUCUCUAAUAAAGCGAGUGCUUUGCUCACGCCUGGAUCCCCUCUCUGUGCGGCCAGCGCCGCUGCCCGCGAGUGACGCUGCCGCACGGGUUGGAUCAGGAUGGGAGGAAUCCGGCACAUUGGGACUGGCGGAUCCUGAGCUGCUUCGAACCAGAGCCGCCCCGAGCUCGCGUGGAAUGAGCCAGAGGCCCCAUCGCUGCCUCACUUGGAGCAACACGAGUGAGAGCUGGUGGUGCUCUGGGGCCGCUGUGAAAUCACAAUUUCCUGCUUUCCAUCCCUGCAGGAUUGAGACAGCAUCUAAAAUUCCUAUAAAAAGUGCUGUCCCUUGUCUGAGAGUCACAGUUCAAACCUCCUCGCAGCGGGACACUCUGUCCUUUAACCAAGUUCACUCCGGUGACUGGUGGAGCCCAGGGAUAAAGAGGGAACGCGGGGAUCCAGCCCUUUGCCAAACCAAUGUCUCACGCGCCCACCUGCAGUCAGGGCUCGUCCUGGGUGAGAGCCGAGCCCGGGCAGCGCCGGCUGCAGCAAAGGAACCUGAAGCCACAUUCCAUGCGGUUUGCCUCAUGACAUCUCCUCUCCGCACCCUGCAGAGUGCUUGGAGAAACGGUUCUUGGAUAAAACCAGAGCUGGGCUUGGCCUCCGUCCCUCUCUGGGCGUGAGGAGCCACGCGCUGCUCCUGUCAGAGAACCCCGCUUUAGUUCUUGCCAACUUGUUGCUCGGGGUUUGUAGCAUAAACUAAACUGUAACAUUUAUUUAAAAGCUAAAUAUACAUAAAUCUGUACGCACGGGCUGGUUCUGAAGCUCAUUAAGAGAUGGCAUUUUGGGAGGAACCAAUGUCCAUACACAGAGAGGCACCGACUCACCCAAGGAUGUGGCCUUUAGGGCAUCAAUACCAGGAGAGAAAAAACCCACCCUCGAUAAAAGCAGCUGGUAAUUGUACCUAAAGGGGGACGGGCGGCUUCUCUCUCCAUCAGCCCUUGGACGCAGCGGAAGAUGCGCUCACUCCCCUCUGAGCCGAUGCUGCUCCGAUGCUAAGGACACACGGGAACAGGCAGGUAACUCGGCUGUUCGUCGUCUAUACUCGAGGGGCUGAACUGCUUGAAAACAUAAUAAAUUAGGCAAAAAUAUCCCAGCAACUAUUUAGCUUGAUUCCCAUCAGCCCUUCGGUAGCACGACAGCAAUAACCUCGAUACAGUAAAUUAUAAACUGAUCAAGAUAAAUAAAAUUUCAACAUAACACUGCCAAGGCUCGGCUCUGCAAUUCCGACUCAGUUUAAACAUUAACUACAGCACCGGCUGCGCUCCCCGUGAAGGGAUGCUUUGUAGAAGGCUGUGACCCGCACAGGCGCUGCUCCUCCAGCACCGGACUUCAUUGGGAAGUGUAAACCACACUGAAAUUCAUAAAAUUUAAAUAAGACAGGGAAAUUAUACCUUGUAGCUGCACUUAUCACCAAUAAUGUACAGUCUGAAUUGCAGCCCGAGCAAACAGCGCUCGCUGGGCGCCUCUGGAAGCCCCAGGCGGAUGCGGAGCAAUUAUGAGAAAUGAGCACAAAGCCCAUUUGCAUCUGAAUGCUGGGGCGGGGGAGGCUCCAUUCACAGCACCACAAUACGCCGGCUGGUAAAAGCAACUUUAUUAGUGUCCCGCAGCAAAAUACAUUAGUAAUUGGUAACCAGGCAUUAAAAUUCCCGUCCGGUGUCAUACAGAAGUAAUCGGCCGCCUCCGCGAGUGUGUGGUUGACUGGAUUUGCUCGGGGCGCUCCCCUGGCAGCGGACGCGGAGAAACCCCCCUUUGGAAGAGGCGAAGGAACGUGGGGAACCCACGCGAGAGGCUGCACCACGCGACCAAGGCACCACAGCUCCAAACCCAACCCCGGUCAAACCCAGCCGGGCACAGGAACAGAGGUUUCCCGGCCCAUUCCCAGUUGUGCUCCCGCUGUUGGGCAGCGCCCGCUGCAUUUUCAGCCUCAUUUGAGCGUACAGAGCCUCCUCCCUCUCCUCCCCAACAGCAGGAAUGUGCUAAUUCAUACAAUACUUCAAUUAUCAUUUUUUUGAGCGAAAAGACCUAAUUUUCCUCUCCUGAUCCCAAUGCAAACCAGCACUCUGAGCAGCCUGAUUCAGCUGUUAGUGUUAACCGUUAGCGUUACUGUCAAAUCCUCUUUGGUUAUUGAAUAUUUUAUUUAAAGCAAGAUUAUACAAAAUAAUUUUCUGCUAGAAAUGCCCCCCUGAAAUCUAAAAGCACUCUAAAGGAACACACUGCCGCAGGCUGGAGCUAUAGCGGUAGGACUUGUAGAUUGGAGUAUUUCCCCACGUAAUCUAAACAGAGUUAUCAAAAUUAUAUUAAGUAAAUACAUUAUGAGGAAUGGUAAACUUCUGAGAAAUCCUUAGGAUACGAAAAGUAGAGUUCUGGGAGGAGCAGUGUGGGCUAAAGGGAGAAUAA